GGGGGGGGGGGGGGGGGGGCCUGGUGGGGGGGGGGAGGGGGCUGGAGGGGGGGGGUGGCUCUUCUUGGAUGGGGUGCGAACGGGGGGGUAGCGCGUCGGUAGGCUGCCGUGUGGCGGGGGAGGACUAUUGGAGACGAUGUCUAAUCCCGCAUAACCAGGGAUGCCACCGGUCAUGUAUUUGACGGGGACGAUUACUCCACUACACGAUGGGCCGGCGUUGUAGUAGCUAGUAGGUGAGGAACCGGCUCACCUCGGCGCCGAUACAUAGCCGACCUGGCAUGGUGGUCGGUCACACUGGGACUGAGACACGGCCCAGACUCCUACGGGAGGCAGCAGUAGGGAAUCUUCGGCAAUGGGGGCAACCCUGACCGAGCAACGCCGCGUGAGGGAAGAAGGUUUUCGGAUCGUAAAGCUCGGUUGUAAGUCAAGAACGAGUGUGAGAGUGGAAAGUUCACACUGUGACGGUAGCUUACCAGAAAGGGACGGCUAGCUACGUG
rnacentral:rRNA from 1 species